rnacentral:lncRNA from 1 species
GCCAUCAUCAUCAUCGUGGGGCCUACCACCACCAUCAUCACCGGGGGUGCCGCCAUCACCGGGGGUGCCACCAACGUCACCGGGGGGGCCACCACCGUUACCGGGGGGGCCACCAACGUCACUGGGGGGGCCACCAGGGGUCCCGCUGUCCCCGGGGGUGCCCCCGGGGGGUUCUCCGGGCCCGGUGCCGCUGCGGUUGGUGCGGGAGCAGAUGGCGGCGGCGCUAGGCCGGCUGCGGGAGCUGGAGGAGGAGGCCCGGGAGCUGCCGGGGCUGCGGCGCCACCUCCAACGGCUGCAGGAGGAGAAACGGCAGCUCCUGGAGAAGCUGCGGCGACGGGGGGGCUGCCGGUGCCGCUGCGGGUGCGGGUGUGGGGACGGGGAUGACGAAGGCUUCGGUGAGGAUGGUGGUGAUGGCGAUGGGGAUGGUGGUGAUGGGGCCGGCGGUGGGGCCGGUAACGGUUCUGGCAUCACCGGCCCCGGUACCGGCUCCGGCACCGGCUCCAUCAUCGGUUCUGGCAACGGUUCUGACAUCACCGGCCCCGGUAUCGGCUCCAGCAACAGUUCUGGCAUCACCGGCCCCGUUACCACCAGUUUGGGCAUCACCAGCCCCGGUACCGGUUCCAUCACCGGCUCUGGCAACGGUUCUGGCAACAGUUCCGGCAUCCCCGUUACCAGCUCCAGCACCAGUUCUGGCAUCACCGGCUCUGUCACCGGCUCCAUCACCGGCUCCAGCAUCAGUUCUGGCAUCAGUUCUGGCAUCACCAUCCCCGUUAGCACCAGUUCUGGCAUCACCGGCCCCAGUACCGGCUCCAUCAGCGCCUCCAGCAAUGGUUCUGGCAUCACCAUCCCCGUUACCGGCUCUAGCAACGGUUCUGGCAAUGGUUCUGGCAUCACCAUCCCCAUUAGCACCAGUUCUGGCAUCACCGGCCCCGUUAGCACCAGUUUGGGCAUCACCGGCCCUGGUACCAGCUCCGUCACCGGCUCCAUCACCAGCUCCGGUACCAGUUCUAGCAUCACCAUCCCCGUUACCGGCUCCGGCACCGGUUCUGGCACCAGUUUUGGCAUCACUGGCCCCGUUUCUGUCCCCAUCACCGGCCCCAUCACCGUCCCCAUCACCGGCUCCGGCCCCAGUUUUGGCAUCCCCGGCCCCGGCCCCGGCCCCGUCCCCG